rnacentral:rRNA from 1 species
AGAACGAACGCUGGCGGCAGGCCUCAAACAUGCAAGUCUAGGGGGCGUAGCAAUACGUCACCGGCGGACGGGUGCGUAACACGUGGGAAUGUACUUACUGGUUCGGAACAACUCAGGGAAACUUGAGCUAAUACCGAAUGUGCCCGAAAGGGGAAAGAUUUAUCGCCAGUAAAUCAGCCCGCGUCCGAUUAGCUAGUUGGUGGGGUAAAGGCCCACCAAGGCGACGAUCGGUAGCUGUUCUGAGAGGAAGAUCAGCCACACUGGGACUGAGACACGGCCCCAGACUCCUACGGGAGGCAGCAGUUGGGAAUCUUGGACAUGGGGAAACCCUGAUCCAGCCAUGCCGCGUGAGUGAUGAAGGCCUUCGGGUUGUAAACUCUUUCGACGGGGACGAUAAUGACGGUACCCGUAGAAGAAGCUCCGGCUAACUUCGCGCCAGCAGCCGC